GACGAACGUUGGCGGCGUGCUUAACACAUGCAAGUCGAACGGAAAGGCCCUGCUUUUGUGGGGUGCCCGAGUGGCGAACGGGUGAGUAACACGUGAGUAACCUGCCCUUGACUUUGGGACAACUUCAGGAAACUGGGGCUAAUACCGGAUAGGAGCUCCUGCUGCAUGGUGGGGGUUGGAAAGUUUCGGCGGUUGGGGAUGGACUCGCGGCUUAUCAGCUUGUUGGUGGGGUAGUGGCUUACCAAGGCUUUGACGGGUAGCCGGCCUGAGAGGGUGACCGGCCACAUUGGGACUGAGAUACGGCCCAGACUCCUACGGGAGGCAGCAGUGGGGAAUAUUGCACAAUGGGCGGAAGCCUGAUGCAGCAACGCCGCGUGCGGGAUGACGGCCUUCGGGUUGUAAACCGCUUUCGCCUGUGACGAAGCGUGAGUGACGGUAAUGGGUAAAGAAGCACCGGCUAACUACGUGCCAGCAGCCGCGGUGAUACGUAGGGUGCGAGCGUUGUCCGGAUUUAUUGGGCGUAAAGGGCUCGUAGGUGGUUGAUCGCGUCGGAAGUGUAAUCUUGGGGCUUAACCCUGAGCGUGCUUUCGAUACGGGUUGACUUGAGGAAGGUAGGGGAGAAUGGAAUUCCUGGUGGAGCGGUGGAAUGCGCAGAUAUCAGGAGGAACACCAGUGGCGAAGGCGGUUCUCUGGGCCUUUCCUGACGCUGAGGAGCGAAAGCGUGGGGAGCGAACAGGCUUAGAUACCCUGGUAGUCCACGCUGUAAACGGUGGGUACUAGGUGUGGGGUCCAUUCCACGGGUUCCGUGCCGUAGCUAACGCUUUAAGUACCCCGCCUGGGGAGUACGGCCGCAAGGCUAAAACUCAAAGGAAUUGACGGGGCCCCGCACAAGCGGCGGAGCAUGCGGAUUAAUUCGAUGCAACGCGUAGAACCUUACCUGGGUUUGACAUGGAUCGGGAGUGCUCAGAGAUGGGUGUGCCUCUUUUGGGGUCGGUUCACAGGUGGUGCAUGGCUGUCGUCAGCUCGUGUCGUGAGAUGUUGGGUUAAGUCCCGCAACGAGCGCAACCCUUGUUCACUGUUGCCAGCACGUUAUGGUGGGGACUCAGUGGAGACCGCCGGGGUCAACUCGGAGGAAGGUGGGGAUGACGUCAAGUCAUCAUGCCCCUUAUGUCCAGGGCUUCACGCAUGCUACAAUGGCUGGUACAGAGAGUGGCGAGCCUGUGAGGGUGAGCGAAUCUCGGAAAGCCGGUCUCAGUUCGGAUUGGGGUCUGCAACUCGACCUCAUGAAGUCGGAGUCGCUAGUAAUCGCAGAUCAGCAACGCUGCGGUGAAUACGUUCCCGGG
rnacentral:rRNA from 1 species